rnacentral:sRNA from 1 species
UACUGUUGUAAUAUAUUAUAAUGUUCCAUUGCCUUUGUUUUCCCCAAGAUCUAAUCACGUUGUUCAUUUCUCUUAGGACAAGACCAGCGCUCUGAGCCUGAGCAAUGUGGCAGGCGUUUUCUAUAUACUUGUCGGAGGUCUGGGGCUGGCCAUGAUGGUGGCUUUGAUAGAAUUCUGUUACAAAUCACGGGCAGAGUCCAAACGCAUGAAACUCACAAAGAACACCCAAAACUUUAAGCCUGCUCCUGCCACAAACACGCAGAAUUAUGCUACAUACAGAGAAGGCUACAACGUGUAUGGAACAGAGAGUGUUAAGAUCUAGGGAUCCCUUCCUACUGGAGGCAUGUGAUGAGAGGAAAUCACUGAAAACGUGGCUGCUUCAAGGAUCCUGAGCCAGAUUUCACUCUCCUUGGUGUCGGGCAUGACACGAAUAUUGCUGAUGGUGCAAUGACCUUUCAAUAGGAAAAACUGAUUUUUUUUUCCUUCAGUGCCUUAUGGAACACUCUGAGACUCGCGACAAUGCAAACCAUCAUUGAAAUCUUUUUGCUUUGCUU